UUGAAUAAAAUCGGUUUGGGUUGUUGCUGGCUCUUUUUGGAGCAUGUGCACGCUCAUUCCAUUUUCUUAACCACCUGUGCACAUACUGUAGUCCUGAAGUGAACUUUUUCGAGGUGAAACUCGGUUUGAGAACUGCGAAAGCUGUUCUUGCAUUUCAGGUCUAUGUUUUCAAACAUAUACUCCGUGAAAAAAGUAACUGAAUGUUAAUUUAUGGCCCAUUUUGUGCCUUUAAACAAUCUAAUA
rnacentral:misc_RNA from 1 species